AUUCCAAGCAGUUCAAUAUAUGCUGAAAAAACUAUUAUUGAUGCUGAUAUGAAUAAAGAAAAUGUUUCUGAUGCUUCAUAUUUUAAAGCUGGUUGGUGGAAGCAAUCCACAUAUAAUGAUACGCAACAUGUUAAAAUAAGUAUUCACAAAUACUUUAGCUCUACAGUUCAGCUGGGCUGGUAAAAGAGCUAAGCGCAAUUUCAAAGACUUGGAACUUGCAAAUAUAAUUAUAUACAGGCUGUUCGUACAAUAUAUACGCAGGCAAAUGACACUGAGAUUAUCACGUCUAUAUCAAAAUAGCUUGCUCAAGCUAACUUAAGAUGUCAG